AUUGAACGCUGGCGGAAUGCUUUACACAUGCCAGUCGAACGGCAGCACGGGGGCAGCCCUGGUGGCGAGUGGCGAACGGGUGAGUAAUGCAUCGGAACGUGCCCGGUCGUGGGGGAUAACGUAGCGAAAGUUACGCUAAUACCGCAUACGAUCUGAGGAUGAAAGCGGGGGACCUUCGGGCCUCGCGCGAUCGGAGCGGCCGAUGUCAGAUUAGGUAGUUGGUGGGGUAAAGGCCUACCAAGCCGACGAUCUGUAGCUGGUCUGAGAGGACGACCAGCCACACUGGGACUGAGACACGGCCCAGACUCCUACGGGAGGCAGCAGUGGGGAAUUUUGGACAAUGGGCGCAAGCCUGAUCCAGCCAUUCCGCGUGCAGGACGAAGGCCUUCGGGUUGUAAACUGCUUUUGUACGGAACGAAAAGGCUCUGGCUAAUACCUGGGGCUCAUGACGGUACCGUAAGAAUAAGCACCGGCUAACUACGUG
rnacentral:rRNA from 1 species